rnacentral:lncRNA from 1 species
AAAAAUCGCACAACCAUUCAAGGAAACCUCGUGACAACGGUUUUGUUCCAUCAUUGAAUCCUAAUUUGCAAAGUCCAAAUUGCAGAUAUGCCAAAAUCGCACAACCAUGAAAACUUUCCCACAACAAUUUUGUUCCAUCGUUGAACCCUAACCUUCAUUGCACCAUAAUCAACCAAGGUAUAAUAGUUUCAUUCCACCACCGUCGCCCAUUGACGCUAGCAACCACCUUCACCACGAACCUGCAAUCCAAAACGCGAAAUCCCUGCACCUGCAACAAAACAUAACCAGCACCAAAUUACACCAAAUUGAAUUUCUAAUUUAACCCUAGGUGGUGAAGCUGUGAUAGAGCGAUGAAGGAAAAAAUGGUGUUGUUUGUUGUCACGAAGCGUGGAGAGGGGAGGUGGUGGCGAAACAGAGAGAGAGAGCGCGAGAAGGAGAGAAUCUGGAACCCAUCAGCAGUUGGGUCUACACUAGAAUCGGAGAUGGCGAUGUGAUCGCCAAGAAAUCCCAAUCCCAAUCGCAAAGAAAUCCUAAUUGCAUUUGACUAAAAUCACUUUGCCUAAUUACCCCAAAUUACCCCAAUUUCAAACCCUAAUUUUAUUACAUUUCCACGUCAGAAUUAAUAAUUUUUUUAUAACACAUAAUAGCCAGCUGACAGCUCUGCCAUUAGUAGAAUUAACGCCGUUAGUAAAAAGGACUAACUUGCACAGUUUUUACAAAAAGUAGGACUUUAGUGAACUUUUUUAGAAAGGGAGGACCACUUUGAACAAACCCCCCAAAAGAGGGACCCAAAUAGGUAUUAAACCUUUAUCAUAUUGUCAUGCAAACUUUCUUAGUCUACCCUAAACCCAAUCUCUUUGCGAAAAGAGCCUAUUACUAAUUACUGACUUGCUAUCUCUAGCCUCCCCUAGUAACUAAUAAUGCAUGAUAAACGAAAGCAAAAUACAAUUGAUCGUCCUAACCCUAUCUCUAGGUGGUAUUAGCAUAAUCAAGGAAUUCCCCCCAAUUCAUGACAUUA